rnacentral:rRNA from 1 species
UACGUAGGGUGCAAGCGUUAAUCGGAAUUACUGGGCGUAAAGCGUGCGCAGGCGGUUUUGUAAGUCUGUCGUGAAAUCCCCCGGGCUCAACCUGGGAAUUGCGAUGGAGACUGCAAGGCUAGAAUCUGGCAGAGGGGGGUAGAAUUCCACGUGUAGCAGUGAAAUGCGUAGAGAUGUGGAGGAACACCGAUGGCGAAGGCAGCCCCCUGGGUCAAGAUUGACGCUCAUGCA